UUGCCUCAGUAACGGCGAGUGAAGCGGCAAUAGCUCAAAUUUGAAAUCUGGCAUCAGCCCGAAUUGUAAUUUGUAGAGGAUGCUUCGGCUUACGUUUUGGUCUAAGUUCCUUGGAACAGGACGUCACAGAGGGUGAGAAUCCCGUUUGUGGCCAUAACUUCCGCCAUGUGAAGCUCCUUCGACGAGUCGAGUUGUUUGGGAAUGCAGCUCUAAAUGGGAGGUAUGUUUCUUCUAAAGCUAAAUACCGGCCAGAGACCGAUAGCGCACAAGUAGAGUGAUCGAAAGAUGAAAAGCACUUUGGAAAGAGAGUUAAAAAGUACGUGAAAUUGUUGAAAGGGAAGCGCUUGCAACCAGACUUGCCCGUAGUUGCUCAACUUGGUCUUCCGACCGGUGCACUCUUCUGCGGUCAGGCCAGCAUCAGUUCGGGUGGUUGGAUAAAGGCCUCGAGAAUGUAGCUCUCUUCGGGGAGUGUUAUAGCUCUUGGUGCAAUACAGCCUGCCUGGACUGAGGCCCGCGCUUCGGCUAGGAUGCUGGCGUAAUGGUUGUAAGCGGCCCGUCUUGAAACACGGACCAAGGAGUCUAACAUCUAUGCGAGUGUUUGGGUGUCAAACCCGUGCGCGUAAUGAAAGUGAACGGAGGUGGGAACUUUUGUGCACCAUCGACCGAUCCUGAUGUCUUCGGAUGGAUUUGAGUAAGAGCAUAGCUGUUGGGACCCGAAAGAUGGUGAACUAUGCCUGAAUAGGGUGAAGCCAGAGGAAACUCUGGUGGAGGCUCGCAGCGGUUCUGACGUGCAAAUCGAUCGUCAAAUUUGGGUAUAGGGGCGAAAGACUAAUCGAACCAUUAAAAAAAUGGCAUUACAAAUUCUUUUUUGUAAAAAGCUACUAGGUGGUUAAGAGGCGGCUAAAAGUGACCGUCUAGUCCCUCCAUUCUGGGGCGACACCGUCAAAUUGCGGGGACUAUCUUAGAGCCUGAACUACCGCGGCCCAUCGAAAGAUUUGGGUGCAGCACCGGGGUAAUGACCUAGGGGAUGGUA
rnacentral:rRNA from 1 species